AAAAGAAGGUCCUCCGCUUGGUUGACCAGCGGAGGGAUCAUUACCGAGUUUACAACUCCCAAACCCAAUGUGAACGUUACCAAACUGUUGCCUCGGCGGGGUCACGCCCCGGGUGCGUCGCAGCCCCGGAACCAGGCGCCCGCCGGAGGAACCAACCAAACUCUUUCUGUAGUCCCCUCGCGGACGUAUUUCUUACAGCUCUGAGCAAAAAUUCAAAAUGAAUCAAAACUUUCAACAACGGAUCUCUUGGUUCUGGCAUCGAUGAAGAACGCAGCGAAAUGCGAUAAGUAAUGUGAAUUGCAGAAUUCAGUGAAUCAUCGAAUCUUUGAACGCACAUUGCGCCCGCCAGUAUUCUGGCGGGCAUGCCUGUCCGAGCGUCAUUUCAACCCUCGAACCCCUCCGGGGGAUCGGCGUUGGGGAUCGGGACCCCUCACACGGGUGCCGGCCCCGAAAUACAGUGGCGGUCUCGCCGCAGCCUCUCCUGCGCAGUAGUUUGCACAACUCGCACCGGGAGCGCGGCGCGUCCACGUCCGUAAAACACCCAACUUUCUGAAAUGUUGACCUCGGAUCAGGUAGGAAUACCCGCUGAACUUAAGCAUAUCAAUAAGCGGAGGA
rnacentral:rRNA from 1 species